AGAGAGAGGGAAACGCCUGGUCCCAUUCCGAACCCAGAAGCUAAGCCUCUCAUCGCUGAUAAUACUGCACCUGUCAGGUGUGGAAAUGUAGGUCGCUGCCUAGU
rnacentral:rRNA from 1 species